CUCCCUUUUCUCCUCCUCCUGCUCUUCCCCCUCCCCAAACUCCCUCCCUCCGCCCGGUUCCCCGCGCAGCCGUGGGAUCUCGGAGGAGGGCGUCCAUUAGGCCGCGUGUGACCAUGUAAGAAAUUGCCACAGCCACUCCAGCCUUCAGCAACCCACUCUGAUCAGUCAGCAGCCAUUGACACUGAGGAAAGACCUUCUACCAGGAAAAAGAUUAUGACUUGCUGAAAGUUCAGAUGAUAGUUACCAAUUUUUAGUAGCAAAAUAUUUUAAAAUUAAGAUCAUAGAAACUGAAAUUUCUCUUCCUCAAAGCAAGCCAUAAAACUAACAAAGUCAUUCUCUGACCUCCGGCCUUUUGACCUGAAGACCUUCAUGUGACAGGUGUUCUGCCCCUCUCUAGAGGCCAAAGAGAAUCUGAACAAACAGGCCUUGCUAAGUUUCCAGUUUAUUACCAUUAGGCCAUACCUCCUUUGUAUCCAGUCCUCCUUCAGCAUGACUGUUCAUCCUUCAUCACACCUAAGCAUUAAAAUACUGUUUUCCCUGGGUCUUUGUGUCUUCAUUUUUGAAGGCUCCCCUGUCAUGUAAAACUUUGAUUAAAUAAAUUUGUGAUACUUUUCUCUUGUUAAACUGUCUUUUGUUAUCGGAGUGUCAGCCAUAAACCU